rnacentral:rRNA from 1 species
GGGCGGCAUACAUGGCAGUUCGACGGAUCCUACUGAAACCUAGUGAUGUAUGGAUUAGUGGCGGACGGGUGAGUAACGCGUGGAUAACCUGCCGUAUACAGGGGGAUAACACUUAGAAUAGGUGCUAAUACCGCAUAAGCGCACGGUUCCGCAUGGAACAGUGUGAAAAACUCCGGUGGUAUACGAUGGAUCCGCGUCUGAUUAGCCAGUUGGUGGGGUAACGGCCCACCAAAGCGACGAUCAGUAGCCGGCCUGAGAGGGCGAACGGCCACAUUGGGACUGAGACACGGCCCAAACUCCUACGGGAGGCAGCAGUGGGGAAUAUUGCACAAUGGGGGAAACCCUGAUGCAGCGACGCCGCGUGAGUGAAGAAGUAUUUCGGUACGUAAAGCUCUAUCAGCAGGGAAGAAAAAAAGUCCUUUGGACUUUGGACGGUACCUGACCAAGAAGCCCCGGCUAACUACGUGCCAGCAGCCGCGGUAAUACGUAGGGGGCAAGCGUUAUCCGGAUUUACUGGGUGUAAAGGGAGCGUAGACGGCAGCGCAAGUCUGGAGUGAAAUGCCGGGGCCCAACCCCGGAACUGCUUUGGAAACUGUGCAGCUCGAGUGCAGGAGAGGUAAGCGGAAUUCCUAGUGUAGCGGUGAAAUGCGUAGAUAUUAGGAGGAACACCAGUGGCGAAGGCGGCUUACUGGACUGUAACUGACGUUGAGGCUCGAAAGCGUGGGGAGCAAACAGGAUUAGAUACCCUGGUAGUCCACGCCGUANACGAUGAUUACUAGGGUGUCGGGGGGCCAAGGCCC